CAUGCAAGUCGAGGGGCAGCAUCAUCAAAGCUUGCUUUGAUGGAUGGCGACCGGCGCACGGGUGAGUAACACGUAUCCAACCUGCCGACAACACUGGGAUAGCCUUUCGAAAGAAAGAUUAAUACCGGAUGGCAUAGUUUUCCCGCAUGGGAUAAUUAUUAAAGAAUUUCGGUUGUCGAUGGGGAUGUGUUCCAUUAGGCAGUUGGCGGGGUAACGGCCCACCAAACCAACGAUGGAUAGGGGUUCUGAGAGGAAGGUCCCCCACAUUGGAACUGAGACACGGUCCAAACUCCUACGGGAGGCAGCAGUGAGGAAUAUUGGUCAAUGGACGAGAGUCUGAACCAGCCAAGUAGCGUGAAGGAUGACUGCCCUAUGGGUUGUAAACUUCUUUUAUACGGGAAUAAAGUUAGCCACGUGUGGCUUUUUGUAUGUACCGUAUGAAUAAGGAUCGGCUAACUCCGUGCCAGCAGCCGCGGUAAUACGGAGGAUCCGAGCGUUAUCCGGAUUUAUUGGGUUUAAAGGGAGCGUAGGCGGGUUGUUAAGUCAGUUGUGAAAGUUUGCGGCUCAACCGUAAAAUUGCAGUUGAUACUGGCGACCUUGAGCGCAACAGAGGUAGGCGGAAUUCGUGGUGUAGCGGUGAAAUGCUUAGAUAUCACGAAGAACUCCGAUUGCGAAGGCAGCUUACUGGAUUGUAACUGACGCUGAUGCUCGAAAGUGUGGGUAUCAAACAGGAUUAGAUACCCUGGUAGUCCACACAGUAAACGAUGAAUACUCGCUGUUGGCGAUAUACAGUCAGCGGCC
rnacentral:rRNA from 1 species